rnacentral:lncRNA from 1 species
UCCCAACACUGAAGCUGCAGAGACAGGAGGACCCCUGGGGUUUACUGAGCAGCCAGCAUAGCCAAACAGGUUUAUGUGACAUGUGUUGGAUGAAAGGAUGGGAGACACAGACCUCCUCAGCCACAGGGAGCACUCUCCAGGAUCACGGGAUGGGAGGCACAGGAUGGACACACAGAUAUACAGACUGCCUCAGCCACAGGGAGCACUCUCCAGGAUCACAGGCUGAGUAAUAAUUUCUCUUCAGUUUGGGAAGUUUUCAUUAUCAUGAAUAUUUUGGAGAAAAGUUACCCUAACUGCAGGAAGUUUGGAAUUCAUCAUGCUGGAAUAGACAAGCCAUUAUGUGUAUUACAGUUUAUUAUUUUCAACCUCAUUGAUUUAAGGACUUGAGAUUGUUCAAAUCCAACUGGCCCACUGCUUUCCUUGGAGCUGUCAGGAAAGGAAAUGUUUACUAUGCAAAUUAGUAUUGUAAAUGAAACUCUUCUGAGAAAAGUAAUUUGAACAUUUCAGGCGCCAAAAUAAAACUGAUAAGUAUGUAGCAGGAAAAGCAGACAGAACUUGGAAUGAAUGAUCAAAAUCAAUACUGCUGACACCAGUGAUGUGGGGAUAAUGGACACAGACAGAGCCUGCCUUACCAGCUACACAGUAGAACAUCCCUAGGGCUGAAGGAGACAGCAGCGACUCAGAGGACAACGGAAGCAAUCC